rnacentral:rRNA from 1 species
AGAGUUUGAUCCUGGCUCAGGACGAACGCUGGCGGCGUGCUUAACACAUGCAAGUCGAACGGAAAGGCCCUUCGGGGUACUCGAGUGGCGAACGGGUGAGUAACACGUGGGUGAUCUGCCCUGCACUUUGGGAUAAGCCUGGGAAACUGGGUCUAAUACCGAAUAGGACCACGCGCUUCAUGGUGUGUGGUGGAAAGCUUUUGCGGUGUGGGAUGGGCCCGCGGCCUAUCAGCUUGUUGGUGGGGUAAUGGCCUACCAAGGCGACGACGGGUAGCCGGCCUGAGAGGGUGACCGGCCACACUGGGACUGAGAUACGGCCCAGACUCCUACGGGAGGCAGCAGUGGGGAAUAUUGCACAAUGGGCGCAAGCCUGAUGCAGCGACGCCGCGUGAGGGAUGACGGCCUUCGGGUUGUAAACCUCUUUCAGUGGGGACGAAGCGAAAGUGACGGUACCUACAGAAGAAGGACCGGCCAACUACGUGCCAGCAGCCGCGGUAAUACGUAGGGUCCGAGCGUUGUCCGGAAUUACUGGGCGUAAAGAGCUCGUAGGUGGUUUGUCGCGUUGUUCGUGAAAACUCACAGCUUAACUGUGGGCGUGCGGGCGAUACGGGCAGACUAGAGUACUGCAGGGGAGACUGGAAUUCCUGGUGUAGCGGUGGAGUGCGCAGAUAUCAGGAGGAACACCGGUGGCGAAGGCGGGUCUCUGGGCAGUAACUGACGCUGAGGAGCGAAAGCGUGGGUAGCGAACAGGAUUAGAUACCCUGGUAGUCCAA